rnacentral:tRNA from 1 species
GGAGAGGUGGCCGAGCGGCUUAAGGCAGCAGGUUGCUAACCUGCGACGGUUAAUAGCCGUCCCGUGGGUUCGAAUCCCACCCUCUCCG